ensembl:lncRNA
AAGAGCUUGACAGAAGUAAGUUGGUGGAGUCUUGCACUAAUCUUAGUGUAGUUAACUCUACAAAUAGUUUUCUUCUGUCUCGUGUGAGGGUAAUGCUAAUCCACUGCAGAACGAGUGAAAGGAAGAAGAAUAAACAUGCACUUUCCCUUAAAAAAGGGAAAGUAUUGUAAAACAAUACUUCUUGUCUCAGAGCUGAGCUUGCUGGUCCAACUCAUUUCUGCUCUACCUAGUUCUUCCUGGGAAACUGAGUUGUCUUUGCAAAAUGUCUGUACUGUGCACAUCUCUUAAAUAUGAAGUUAAGAUUGCUCAGCUCUGUUUAGUUUAGAAAGCAAAUGUUUGACUUCUCUUUCACGUAUGAAAUGGCACAAACCUAAAUAAUCUGAUAAGAGCUCAUCUGCUUCCUCCUGUUCUUUUGCAGAGGUCAUUUAAAUUGCUUAUUUAUUUUUGGUUCCUUAGCAUAAGGUGUUGUCUUAUCAGCCUGUGAACUUUGCCCUUCUUACUUCUCUUAUACACGUCUCCUUGCUGCCCUCCCUGAAGCCCAACAGAAACUGCACACCUUUAAAUUCUUUUUUUCCCUCAUGGUGUGGGGUUGCACUCCUGUGCUUCUUUGAACCAAAGCCUUAACUUUGGGGUCUGUAAUCCACUUCAGUGUUUUGACAUCGUGGUGUGAUCAGGUUGAACGUGGGGAAAAAGUUAUUACUUCAAGCCAAGAUUUUCUCCUUUUGCACAAAGAGCUGCCUUGGUUUCUCUCCAAGAGCUUGAGUGCCUUUGUCUAAUUAAAAUAAAGCAAAAAAGCCCAGUCCUUCCCAUCUGUACUGUUCACUGAGAAAUGGAUGGGGUAAGACAGCCAUCGAGAUCCUCAGGUGAAGAGCUGGAAGCAUCCUGCUUGGAAUUUUACCUGUUUGCUCAAAGAAAAUUCAGUAUCUGGAUGUGGGCACAUUUAGCAUCUAAUCUGUUCAACCUUCUUGAGCACGGAACUUUCCAUACCAGGCAUGGAAACUGGCAGUUUGGCAGAGUCCAUGGCAUUGGCUUACAGGGAGCUUCCGUGUUUCACACCACUUUCUGAUUGUGAGGUUCUCAGUAUUGCAUGCCAAGCUCAAACACAGCAGUGUUUACUUCUCCAAAUAUGAGCAGUCGGCUUUCUUUCCUAUUCCGUAGUGUGAUGUUGCAGAGGUAAGGGAUGCAUAAAGGAUUUCUUGCAACUGCCAUGUUUUGAACAGUUUGUGGCAGUUCUGCUCUUGAAGACAAUUUAAAAUUAUUUAUAUAACACUUCAUGUAUAUCCCUCACACUGCGGAUUCCUCUGGGGCAAGUACUGUUUGCAGAAGGAAACUAAGGGAUUCAUGUAGUCUAUUGUAAGAAUUAAAGAACUUGUAUCCCUCUGGAAGAUCACAAGACACCUUGGGAACCUAUUAAUGGAAAGGCACAAAGCAAGCAACUGUCCAAAGGUGGUAACUUGCAGACUACUACCCGAAAGACUGAUACUGAACUUGGCUGCUGUAAUGCAUUUCUGGCUUGGUUUAGAGUGCCUGCUUGCUGGGAGCUGCGGUAAGGCAGGGACAAAGGCAAUAGAGGCAAGAUGUGAUCCUCUGUGCCUGCACAGACACCUGCUGCUAUAUGCCUUUUUUACGUGGUGCUAAUCCUGAACAAUUGCUGGGGUACAGCAGAUCUCAGUGCAGAAGUUGGGGUCUGCGUGCGGGGCGAGAGAAUGCCGGACUCCAGCUCAGUGUGGCUGGAGGUGGCAGAGCAGUUUGAGCCGUAGUUUCAGCAAGACAACCUGAGGCCUGGCUUCAGUGUGAGCCAAAGGCAUGCUGACAGAUCCUAAGCAGAGGAAGCAGGCUUUCCUACAGCGCAUGAGGGGAAAAGAAUAUCUUAAUGAGGUUGUAGUUCUAUUAACAGUCUUAAAGCCUCUUGGGGCUGGAGUUUGCCUAAUCAGGUCUUCGGUGUGUUGCUCUUCAUUUGUAUCUGAAUAAUUCGAUGAAUAGACCAUCCUGUCCGCACCCCUCGAAGAGGAGCACAGGGCAGAAGCUUUGUCCUUUUGAGCUUAAGAACAGGGAAGAGGUCGUAACCAAAUUAGGUCGUAUGCAAAAAAGCAACAGCAACAAAUAAAAAACAUAGACCUUUUAUCAGCACCUGAAUAUUGUGAAAUAACAUCAGUGACCAACGGUCUAACUCUGGGAACCAGUGUACUGUGACAGCAGGGAGGACCUGGCAGUGCAAAUACUUGUGUUUAAGCCAUGUGAUAUAAGUUGGAGCAAUGCUGUGACUGUGUAAGCAGUGUAAGCCUGUGGUGAGCGGCGAGGCUUCUCCACUGACUCAUAAAAGCAUUGUACAGUGAUGAAAUGAGGCAUCCAGCUGACGACCAAAACAUGUAUUUUUACAGUUCUGCUGGAAUUUGCUGGUACAGAGCACAUCAAGUAGGUGAGAAUCUACCUGUUAAAGUGCAGAGAUAGUUUGCUCCACUUUGAAAAAUCAAAACAAUCCUUCGUUGUCGU